AUAUGGCAAAUGAUUCAUUCACAGUUACCAUACAGCCUCCAGAUUGGGCUAAAAGAUCAUCUCCUUGACUCAUAUCUGCAGUAACAGCAACUAAAGCAAAAGAUUCUACUUCAGCAAGAGGUGUUUUGUCUUAUUUCUAGAACAAGUGGAGUUAUUAUUUUGAAUUCUUGCAAAGAAGAAGAAUCAGGACAGUCUUAUAUUAUGAACAGUCAAGAAAGCCUUCUUUUAUAUUAGUUCCUUCAAACCAGAGUCUUGAUAGCUUCAUCUUUGGGAUUGCAGAAGGUUUGGUCUACCUCCAUGAAAACACUAAGACGAGGAUUAUUCGUAGAGAUAUAAAAGACAGCAAUAUCUUGUUGGAUUCUAGUCUCUGAGUUAAAAUUGCUGACUUUGGGUUGGAUAGAUCCUUCCAAGAAGACGAGUCACAUGCCAUCGUGAGGACUUUGUUAGUGAUUCUCUUCUUUAACAUUUAUAUUAUAGCUACAAAACUUGUGCUCACUAAAUAACAGCCAGUUAGGUUAAUUAGUUAUCUCAGCCGAUGGUUAUUUUUUCAUUUUUUCCCUUCAUAGAGGAUAUGGCGCCAGAAUACUUGGCCAUAUGAUUUUUUUCUAUCGCAGGUUGAUACUUAGCCAGUGGUUAUUUUUUCCUACAAAACUUUCAUUUUUUCUAUUGUAAGUUGUGAACCAAUUCUUGUAUUUACUUCCAAAUAUAUAUAUAUGGACGUUUAGAAAGUUUUUGCUCAUUGGUU